rnacentral:rRNA from 1 species
UGGGGAAUAUUGCACAAUGGGGGAAACCCUGAUGCAGCGACGCCGCGUGAGCGAUGAAGUAUUUCGGUAUGUAAAGCUCUAUCAGCAGGGAAGAAAAUGACGGUACCUGACUAAGAAGCCCCGGCUAACUACGUGCCAGCAGCCGCGGUAAUACGUAGGGGGCAAGCGUUAUCCGGAUUUACUGGGUGUAAAGGGAGCGUAGACGGUCCUGCAAGCCAGAUGUGAAAGCCCGGGGCUCAACCCCGGGACUGCAUUUGGAACUGUAAGGCUAGAGUGUCGGAGAGGCAGGCGGAAUUCCUAGUG